ensembl:lncRNA
UAAACAGGAAGGACUAUGUACAUCGUUACUGUACAGGCCCCCGCAGUGACUGAUCGAAUCCAUAAAAUAUCCCGCUUCCUCCCCUCUAUCAUUCAUCCCGAACUCAUCUGGAUGAUAAUGUGGUCUUCCUCUCUUGUCCCAACAGAUGGCGCUAGUGCUGCACUGCUGAGCUUCUUCCUUCUUCCCCGACAGACAAACCUCCUAACUAAAACUGGAUUCCAACGUCCCCACUGACUGUCCUCUCUCUCUCUCACAAAGAGCUCACCUUCAGAUACCAAACCUUCCCUGACCACUGCCGAGUGAUAGCUCC